CGUCUCACCGCUGCAGAUACUCGUCGUUUGCCACUCCUCCAGGACCUCAACGCACUUGAAGAAAUAAAAAAAUUGUCAAAUAAUUUUUCAUUCAUUUUUAUGGAAAAAAGCUAUUUUUCAGAUGGAGAAUUUGAGUUUUUUGGAUGGAGUUGAAAAUUUAAGUUUUUUUAUAUCAUUGAAAAGCUGUUGACUGUUUCGAACGACGUCGAAAAAUUUGGACUUUUAAGGAAUGUCGGAAGGAUCGUAUUUUAUGGGUGUCUGAAUUGGGUCGAUUUUUUACUUCCUAAUGAAAGAUACAGUCACUUUUAAUUCAUGUAAUAUUAAUUCGAAAUUGUAAAUAAAUUUGUUCAACUUA